rnacentral:rRNA from 1 species
AGAGUUUGAUCCUGGCUCAGAUUGAACGCUGGCGGCAUGCCUUACACAUGCAAGUCGAACGGCAGCGCGGGGCAACCUGGCGGCGAGUGGCGAACGGGUGAGUAAUAUAUCGGAACGUACCCUGGAGUGGGGGAUAACGUAGCGAAAGUUACGCUAAUACCGCAUACGAUCUAAGGAUGAAAGUGGGGGAUUCGCAAGAACCUCAUGCUCCUGGAGCGGCCGAUAUCUGAUUAGCUAGUUGGUAGGGUAAAAGCCUACCAAGGCAUCGAUCAGUAGCUGGUCUGAGAGGACGACCAGCCACACUGGAACUGAGACACGGUCCAGACUCCUACGGGAGGCAGCAGUGGGGAAUUUUGGACAAUGGGCGCAAGCCUGAUCCAGCAAUGCCGCGUGAGUGAAGAAGGCCUUCGGGUUGUAAAGCUCUUUUGUCAGGGAAGAAACGGGUCUUUCUAAUACAGAGAUCUAAUGACGGUACCUGAAGAAUAAGCACCGGCUAACUACGUGCCAGCAGCCGCGGUAAUACGUAGGGUGCAAGCGUUAAUCGGAAUUACUGGGCGUAAAGCGUGCGCAGGCGGUUUUGUAAGACUGUCGUGAAAUCCCCGGGCUCAACCUGGGAAUGGCGAUGGUGACUGCAAGGCUAGAGUUUGGCAGAGGGGGGUAGAAUUCCACGUGUAGCAGUGAAAUGCGUAGAUAUGUGGAGGAACACCGAUGGCGAAGGCAGCCCCCUGGGUCAAAACUGACGCUCAUGCACGAAAGCGUGGGGAGCAAACAGGAUUAGAUACCCUGGUAGUCCACGCCCUAAACGAUGUCUACUAGUUGUCGGGUUUUAAUUAACUUGGUAACGCAGCUAACGCGUGAAGUAGACCGCCUGGGGAGUACGGUCGCAAGAUUAAAACUCAAAGGAAUUGACG